CCCCAGUCCCCAGGUCAGGGUAUGACCCCGUGGUGUUGAAAGGACA
rfam:Mosquito flavivirus isolate LSFlaviV-A20-09, complete genome